GAGUUUGAUCAUGGCUCAGAUUGAACGCUGGCGGCAUGCCUUACACAUGCAAGUCGAACGGCAGCACGGGAGCUUGCUCCUGGGUGGCGAGUGGCGAACGGGUGAGUAAUGCAUCGGAACGUAUCCUGGAGUGGGGGAUAACGUAGCGAAAGUUACGCUAAUACCGCAUAUUCUGUGAGCAGGAAAGCGGGGGACCUUCGGGCCUCGCGCUCUUGGAGCGGCCGAUGUCGGAUUAGCUAGUUGGUGAGGUAAAGGCUCACCAAGGCGACGAUCCGUAGCAGGUCUGAGAGGAUGAUCUGCCACACUGGAACUGAGACACGGUCCAGACUCCUACGGGAGGCAGCAGUGGGGAAUUUUGGACAAUGGGGGCAACCCUGAUCCAGCCAUGCCGCGUGAGUGAAGAAGGCCUGG
rnacentral:rRNA from 2 species